GAACGAUGAACCACUUCGGUGGGGAUUAGUGGCGAACGGGUGAGUAACACGUGGGCAAUCUGCCCUUCACUCUGGGACAAGCCCUGGAAACGGGGUCUAAUACCGGAUAACACUUCCACUCUCCUGAGUGGUGGUUAAAAGCUCCGGCGGUGAAGGAUGAGCCCGCGGCCUAUCAGCUUGUUGGUGAGGUAAUGGCUCACCAAGGCGACGACGGGUAGCCGGCCUGAGAGGGCGACCGGCCACACUGGGACUGAGACACGGCCCAGACUCCUACGGGAGGCAGCAGUGGGGAAUAUUGCACAAUGGGCGAAAGCCUGAUGCAGCGACGCCGCGUGAGGGAUGACGGCCUUCGGGUUGUAAACCUCUUUCAGCAGGGAAGAAGCGAAAGUGACGGUACCUGCAGAAGAAGCGCCGGCUAACUACGUGCCAGCAGCCCGGGGGUAAUUCCA
rnacentral:rRNA from 1 species